rnacentral:rRNA from 1 species
UGAAUACGAGACGCUAAGGCGUUGAAGUAGUGUAUGUCAUACUUCCAAGAAAAGCUUGCACUGUCAUAGAUAAAAAACGCCUGUACCAUAACCGACACAGGUGGGUAGGUAGAGUAUACUAAGGGGCGCGAGAUAACUCUCUCUAAGGAACUCGGCAAAAUAACUCCGUAACUUCGGGAGAAGGAGUGCCUUAUUUAUAAGGCUGCAAUAACAAGAUCCAAGCAACUGUUUAUCAAAAACACAGGUCUCCGCUAAGUCGUAAGACGAUGUAUGGGGGCUGACGCCUGCCCAGUGCCAGAAGGUUAAAGAAGUUGGUUAGCAAUAGCGAAGCUGAUAACUGAAGCCCUGGUGAACGGCGGCCGUAACGAUAACGGUCCUAAGGUAGCGAAAUUCCUUGUCGGGUAAGUUCCGACCCGCACGAAAGGCGUAAUGAUUUGGAUACUGUCUCGGAGAGGGGCUCGGUGAAAUAGACUUGUCUGUGAAGAUGCGGACUACCUGCACCAGGACAGAAAGACCCUAUGAAGCUUUACUGUAACUUGAAAUUGAAAUUGGACUUUAUUCGCGCAGUAUAGGUGGGAGGCGUUGAUUGUAAUCUUGCGGGAUUAUUGGAGCCAUCAGUGAGAUACCACCCUUGUAAUGUUAGAUUUCUAACUUUGAAUCAUUAUCUGGUCAAAGAACAGUUUCAGGCGGGCAGUUUGACUGGGGCGGUCGCCUCCUAAACGGUAACGGAGGCGUACAAAGGUUUCCUCUGAACGGUUAGAAAUCGUAUCUAGAGUGUAAAGGCAUAAGGAAGCUUGACUGUGAGACCUACAAGUCGAGCAGGGACGAAAGUCGGUCUUAGUGAUCUGACGGUACUGAGUGGAAAGGCCGUCACUCAACGGAUAAAAGUUACUCUAAGGAUAACAGGCUGAUCUCCCCCAAGAGUUCACAUCGACGGGGAGGUUUGGCACCUCGAUGUCGGCUCAUCGCAUCCUGGGGCGGUAGUACGUCCCAAGGGUUGGGCUGUUCGCCCAUGAAAGCGGUACGCGAGCUGGGUUCAGAACGUCGUGAGACAGUUCGGUCCAUAUCCGGUGUAGGCGUUAGAAUAUUGAGAGGAGCCUUCUUUAGUACGAGAGGACCGAGAAGGACAUACCUCUGGUGUACCAGUUAUCGUGCCAACGGUAAACGCUGGGUAGCUAUGUAUGGAGUGGAUAACCGCUGAAAGCAUCUAAGUGGGAAGCCCACCUCAAGAUAAGUAUUCUCAC